AGAAAAACCAAAAAAAAGCUAGAGAAAAAGAGAAGGUGAUGGAGAUAGGAUUUUAGAGAAGAAGACUAUGGAAAAUCAUCAAAGGAUCAUUAAAUUAAAGAUUUUACGGCAGUUGGAAGUGGAACUAAGAAGUUAGCUUGUUAUUGAUCGCAUCGUUAUUAUAUUGGUUGAGAUGUAGUUUAAAAUAAUAUGUUUAGUUAAAAGCGUUGUUAAGGAUAAUUUGUGGAUUUAUAUGCUUCAGUUCAUGUUAUACAAAGUUUCAACUACGUUUUGUGUAAAUAUAUAUAUAUAUAUAUGCAAAAGUCUCCUCUCGACCCGUAACGCAUCGAGUUCGGAUCUCCAUAUGGGUUUGAUCCUCGUCCGGAAUCCGGGGUGUUACAAGUUGGUAUCAUAACUCUAGGAUUUAUAUAUUGAAUGAGACCUAAAUAAAUUAUUUGGUAUGUUGAUGUGAUACUAAGCAUGCUUGUUUGAUUUUAUUGGUGUAUUGCCUGCUUCUAUGUAUUAGUUGUACUCUAGCUUUUGUGUAAUUCAUGCGAUUAUGAAUUGUGUGCUU